rnacentral:rRNA from 1 species
AGCGAACGCUGGCGGCAGGCCUAACACAUGCAAGUCGAACGAACCCUUCGGGGUUAGUGGCGGACGGGUGAGUAACACGUGGGAACGUGCCUUUAGGUUCGGAAUAACUCAGGGAAACUUGUGCUAAUACCGAAUGUGCCCUUCGGGGGAAAGAUCUAUCACCUUUAGAGCGGCCCGCGUCUGAUUAGCUAGUUGGUGAGGUAAUGGCUCACCAAGGCUACGAUCAGUAGCUGGUCUGAGAGGAUGACCAGCCACAUUGGGACUGAGACACGGCCCAAACUCCUACGGGAGGCAGCAGUGGGGAAUCUUGCGCAAUGGGCGAAAGCCUGACGCAGCCAUGCCGCGUGGAUGAUGAAGGUCUUAGGAUUGUAAAAUCCUUUCACCGGUGAAGAUAAUGACUGUAGCCGGAGAAGAAGCCCCGGCUAACUUCGUGCCAGCCGCCGCAGUAAAAC